rnacentral:rRNA from 1 species
UUCCGGUUGAUCCUGCCGGAGGCUACCGCUAUUGGAGUUCGAUUAAGCCAUGCGAGUCCUCGGCGUACCGCUCAGUAACACGUGGGUAACCUGCCCUAUGCUGGGGGAUAACCUCGGGAAACUGAGAAUAAUACCCCAUAGUUCACCACGCCUGGAACGGUGGGUGGACCACGGCAUAGGAUGGGCCUGCGGCGUAUCAGGUUGUAGGGGGUGUAAUGUACCCUCUAGCCCUCUACGCGUACGGGUGUUGAGAGACAUCGCCCGGAGAUGGAUUCUGAGACACGAAUCCAGACCCUACGGGGUGCAGCAGGCGCGAAAACUUGGCAAUGCGAGAAAUCGUGACCAGGGAACUCCAAGUGCAUGGUCUUGGAAUAAGGGGUGGGUAGGUGCCAGCCGCCGCGGUAAUACCGGCGCCCCAAGUGGUAGUCGCUUUUAUUGGGCCUAAAACGUCCGUAGCCGGUCUGGUACAUUCGUGGGUAAAUCAACCAGCUCAACUGGUUGAAUUCUGCGAGCACGGCCAGACUUGGGACCGGGAGAGGUGUGGGGUACUCUCAGGGUAGGGGUAAAAUCCCGUCAUCCUGAGGGGACCACCUGUUGCGAAGGCGCCACACUAGAACGGAUCCGACGGUCAGGGACGAAGCCUAGGGGCACGAACCGGAUUAGAUACCCGGGUAGCCCUAGGUGUAAACGCUGUGGACUUGAUGUUGGGGGCGCGCGCACUCAGUGUCGAAGCGAAGGUGAUAAGUCCACUGCCUGGGGAGUACGGUCGCAAGGCUGAAACUUAAAGGAAUUGGCGGGGGAGC